rnacentral:lncRNA from 1 species
UGCUGGGCCCCGGGUCUCUCACUGGCAGAAUGGAGUUCUCGGAGCUGAUCCAUACGGGCUGAGCCCAAGCAGAGUUUCUACGGGGCCCGGAGGCGCCCCCGCUUCGCGGCACGGUGUGAGUCACCGUCCACCACCUGCUCCUGUCGCCAGGGCCCGCGUCCUCUCCGGACCUGUGGCUGCUGCUGUUGCGUAGCGUCGACUCCUUCGAGAAGCAGUGAGACGUGGCGGGGUGGGGGAGGGUCCCCGGGGUUGGGGAGCGCGCGGCUUGGCGGAGUAGGGGGCACGGCCAGCGCAGUCAGAGCUGGCGCCCUCCUGCGUAAGCCCAAUCCGGGAAACUCGUUGCCCCUCUCCUGGGAAAGGAACGUCCCUCCCCAGGGUUGCGAGUGACUCGGGCACCAUCACCCUGUGCUGUAAAGACCUGCGAGUGCUGCAGCUGGAAAUAGAGGGCGCGGAAGCGACGCUGGGCAUCGCCCGCUCCAUCGAGACCAACGCGUGGCGGCUGAGCGAGGUGAACGAGGACUUCAGCUUGUGCCCCAGAUACCCCCGUGCGGUGAUCGUGCCAUACUUGGUGGACGAUGAUGCCCUGGCGCGCAGCGCCCGCUUCCGUCAGGGAGGUCGCUUCCCGGUGCUCAGCUACCACCCGGCUCCCAGCGGCAGAGGGAGCGCGCCCUCCCCACGCUCCGCCCCUGGGUGGCUGCGUCCUUUCUGGGCCUUUUCUUUUUGGCCCGGUCAAUUCGCGGCGUAGCCGCUGCCCCAACUCCUGCCCCAUUCUGGUCCCGCCCCUCUCCCGCCUUUUCGCUGGGAAGGGUAUCACCUUUCUCUGGCCCCGCCCCUGACGGUUCCGGGCCCCGCGAAGCUUAGUCCCUUCUUUGUCAAGCCAGGACCCGCCCACGGUCUAUUCAUAGGGUCCCAAACCACUUUGGCCACAACACCCCCAGACUGGUCCGAAGCCUCGUGAGUUCGCCCUGGUCGUUGCACUCCAGCCUGUCGCUGUGCAGACCUGGCUUAGAGGACCCCUAAGGCUGAGGGGUCACUUCCAGAACUGAGUCCGGUCCGCAGGUUCUGCUACGCUCCAGCCAGCCCCUAACUGGUCCCCAGAAGCGGCGCUGCUACAGGGACCAGGAGCUGCUGCGAACUGCGCUGGCGGGGGCUCGUCCUUGGGCGCGGGGCUUCAUCAUGGACACGCUCUCGGCCCAGGCCGCGAAACAAGCCCGCGUGACUGGCGGAGGCACAGAGACCAAGGCCGCUUAACCUGGCUGGUUGCACUGGUCCCUGGAGAGCACUGAGCACAGGGGCUGCCACAGUGGCCGGCUCAGACAUGGCAGAGAUCAGCAGAGAAUGGGCAAUCAGGCUCCCCUGAGAUGAGCAGCAGCGCAGAGGAGGUGCCCCUCUCUUACUACACCAACUUCAGAGGGCGUCCCCUGCAGGAGAGCUUCAUGCGCCUGGUGGAGGCCUGUGGGGACUCGGAGCAAAGCAUGGACAACUGGCUGAGUCGGCUGGACGGCUGCCGCUGACUGUAACAUGUAAAGCAGGCACUGAGCACCACCUGCCUGGCAGUCCAGGGCAUGGAGAGGCACAGACAGCACCCUGCUUGUGACUUCACUGGCCCAACUCAUCCUGGACCCCUUGAGCAAGACCAUGGCUGGAUUCCAGGAACUGGUGGAGUGGAAGUGGAUCCAGGAAAGCCAGCCACCCCUUCCAGCUGCGCUGUGCCCAUUCAGCCUUCUCCCAUGCCCACCCCAAGCAUGAGGCACCCACCUUUCUCCUCUUCCUGGACUGCGUGUGGCAGCUGGGCUGCCGGUUCCCACUGUCAUUGGAGUUUGGGGAAGGGCUACUGUUGGCGCUGUUUGGGCACGCCUAUGCCUCCUCUUUUGGCACCUUCCUCUGCAACAGCGAAAAGGAGAGAUGAAGUCUCGCUCUGUCACCUGUCGCCUGGUCUGGAGCGCAGUGGCACGAUCUGGGCUCACUGCAACCUUUGCCUCCCUGGUUCAAGCUAUUCUCCAGCCUCAGCCUCCCGAGUAGCUGGGAUUACAGGAAUGUGCCACCACGUCCGGCUAAUUUUUAUACUUUUAGUAUAGAUGGAGUUUCACCAUAUUGGCCAGUCUGAUCUCAAACUCCUGACCUCAGGUGAUCUGCCCACCUCGGCCUCCUAAAGUGCUGGGAUUACAAGCAUGCCGUGUGAAGGGAGGACUCAGAUGCACUCCCUGUGGUCUGGGCUCAACCAGCCAAAAGAGCAACAAAGACUCCAGAACCCACUCUACCUCCUCAAUCCCUUGGCCAUCUGUGGAGCCCCAGAGCCUGCGGCUGUGGCAAGGCCUGUUUCUGCGCUGGACCUGCUCACCUGAGCCUGCAGAAGCUGCAUGGGGGAAGAGUGUGGCAAAUAGUGACAGGAAGGGAGAAGACAGAAGCCUCUCAGCCAACUGCUUCAGCCGAGCCCCUAUUCUAAGCACUGGCUCCUUGGAUAGCAGCUGAGAUGUUCCUGAAACCUCUGCAGGCCCCUUAGGACCUUUACACCUUGGAUGAGGGUGCCUGCAACCCAGGUUAGCCAAAAGUACUGAGGGUCUUAAGUUUGAAGUGUCCAAAGUAUAGGGAGGUCUCAAUAAUAAAAGUCUCCAUGAUCAGCA